rfam:Massilia sp. Leaf139 contig_5, whole genome shotgun sequence.
GGCACCCUGCGGUGUUCGAGAUUGCCAUAUAUUCCUUGAACCAUUUACAUGCAUAGGUUGCGGGAUAGUGUUUGAUGGGCGUGAGCGUCGCUAGUUCGACGAACCCGAAAUUGGACUGACUGUGACCACCUUGAGCCAUCAGGUUCGGGAUGCCGGCAAAAAACGGCACAGGCGGGGCUAUA